AUAUUGAAUGACUCUCGGCAACGGAUAUCUCGGCUCUUGCAUCGAUGAAGAACGUAGCGAAAUGCGAUACUUGGUGUGAAUUGCAGAAUCCCGUGAACCAUCGAGUCUUUGAACGCAAGUUGCGCCCAAAGCCAUUAGGCUGAGGGCACGCCUGCCUGGGUGUCACAC
rnacentral:rRNA from 1 species